rnacentral:rRNA from 1 species
GACGUAGGGCGCGAGCGUUGUCCGGAAUUAUUGGGCGUAAAGAGCUCGUAGGCGGUGUGUCGCGUCGGCCGUGAAAACCUGCAGCUUAACUGUGGGCUUGCGGUCGAUACGGGCAUCACUGGAGUUCGGCAGGGGAGACUGGAAUUCCUGGUGUAGCGGUGAAAUGCGCAGAUAUCAGGAGGAACACCGGUGGCGAAGGCGGGUCUCUGGGCCGAUACUGACGCUGAGGAGCGAA